rnacentral:rRNA from 1 species
CUCGGAGGGAUCAUUACUGAGUUACCGCUCUAUAACCCUUUGUGAACAUACCUACAACUGUUGCUUCGGCGGGUAGGCCGUCCCCUGAAAAGGACGCCUCCCGGCCCGGACCGGACCCCCCGCGGGACCGGACCCGGCGCCCGCCGGAGGAUAACCAAACUCUAUUGUAACGACGUUUCUUCUGAGUGGCAUAAGCAAAAUAAUCAAAACUUUUAACAACGGAUCUCUUGGUUCUGGCAUCGAUGAAGAACGCAGCGAAAUGCGAUAAGUAAUGUGAAUUGCAGAAUUCAGUGAAUCAUCGAAUCUUUGAACGCACAUUGCGCCCGCCAGCAUUCUGGCGGGCAUGCCUGUUCGAGCGUCAUUUCAACCCUCAAGCUCUGCUUGGUGUUGGGGCUCUACGGUCGACGUAGGCCCUCAAAGGUAGUGGCGGACCCUCCCGGAGCCUCCUUUGCGUAGUAACAUUUCGUCUCGCACUGGGAUCCGGAGGGACUCUUGCCGUAAAACCCCCCAAUUUUCCAAAGGUUGACCUCGGAUCAGGUAGGAAUACCCGCUGAACUUAAGCAUAUCA